rnacentral:misc_RNA from 1 species
GAUGAAGAACGUAGUGAAAUGCGAUAAGUAAUGUGAAUUGCAGAAUUCAGUGAAUCAUCGAAUCUUUGAACGCACAUUGCGCCCCCUGGUAUUCCGGGGGGCAUGCCUGUUCGAGCGUCAUUUCACCACUCAAGCCUCGCUUGGUAUUGGGCAUCGCGGUCCGCCGCGCGCCUCAAAUCGACCGGCUGGGUCUUCUGUCCCCUAAGCGUUGUGGAAACUAUUCGCUAAAGGGUGUUCGGGAGGCUACGCCGUAAAACAACCCCAUUUCUAAGGUUGACCUCGGAUCAGGUAUGGAUACCCGCUGAACUUAAGCAUAUCAAUAAGCGGAGGA